CGAGACUUCCAUCUUUUCUUGCCCCGGCUACCUUAUGCGGAUGUCUACUCCAUUUCCCCUUCUUUGACACGAUGGAAACUAUAAGAGCUUCCUUCUUUAUAGACUUAUGAAGGGAUAUGAGACUCCUUAGAGGCACUAAAUAAUGUCUAUGUAGUAUCAAUUCAGUUUCAUGGGACCUUGUUGUAAUCGUAACUUCGAUUGAACAGCCUAUUCUGAAUUACUUAGUGUUAAUCAUUUGCUAUUACCGUUUAGAUUAUUUCUCUAUAGUGCGGUGCUCUUGUUUCCUCCAACUUUUCAUUAUUGUAGCUCCUUUCUUUCUUAUGCUCUCUUGAGGUUCAUUAUCUGCUGCAUUUAAGUGCAUUCAAGCUGUGCAAAUUUGCUUGACAUAGUUGGUGAUGUAUAUCCGUUGCAGACAUUAUCGUAUUUCUUGGGGCGUGAACUUACUAACUAAAUUUCCUUCAUAAUUAGUGCUUUGCAUGGCAGGUUGCUGAUCAGGUCUCAGCUAUUUAUGGUUUGCUCUCAUAUAGCUUAUUUGUUUCAGUUAAAUGUUUUCUUCUUUGCAGGUUAUGUUUCUAACAUCUAUAUUGCUUCCUCCUGUUUUGUUUUUGACUUGCUUCUUUCCUUGACCCCUUUCUGUUUUGCAGGGUGAUCCAGGUGCUAACUUUUUUGAAAAUAUUUUGGUCUUUAUGUAAUGUUCCCUUUGUUAAGUUGAUUUCGUUUGUUCUGAGUGUUCACUUGUCUUUUAUGCUUGUGCAGGUGAAUUGGUGUUCGUUCUUUCGCUCUUCUUGGUCCAUGGGAGGCAGGAGCUAUGGAAGAUCAUUGAAAUCCUUUGCAGCAGUGGAAUAGCAAUGUACCAUCAAAGUCUUCGGCUGCAGAAUGCUUUUCAGGUAACCGUCCGAGCGCUUGUCAGUUUAUUUUGAAGAUAGACCGCAAAACUGUUUGCUGCUAUACUUACAUUAGUCUUUUCCAGUGCAUUGUGCACAACAGAAAUCAUCAGCAGAAGAGGGGUUUGGAAUUAUUCAAACAAGAGCCAGCCUGAAGCAACUGAAACUUCAAAACUCAUACUGGAGAAGAGCCUGCAGGAGCUUGAUAUCGCAUUGCUGCUGCGGUGGGAGAAGUCUACUCCAGUAUCUGCCAUCUGCGAUCCAAAGCAAAACUCUCUGUAGAUCUAGUUGAGUAUCCACCAUCUGCGAUCCAAACCAAGAUAGAUCUCUGAAGAUAUAGUUGAGUAUCCACCAUCUGCGAUCCAAACCAAGAUGUCUGAAGAUCUCAACAGAUUUUAGUGUCCCUAAUCCAACAAGCUUGUUCUCAACGCAAACUUAUACUGCCGUGGAAUUUCCUUUUUCCAUUCUAAAAGGGAUUAGGUCAUGAUUGUUCAUUGUAAGGCAAUUAUAUCCAGAGUAAAGGGAACUUUCCUUCUGCCUCAAGUUUUGUUGAUUCCCAUCUUUGAAUGCCUACAGGUUCCCCCUGUGACUAGUAGUAGGAUAUUUAGUUUUUGGAGUAGUGUUGGGUGGUUACAGUGCUGGGUGCUUACUUAAGAUGCUAUUUGCACUCCAUAGAUCUUGCUUGGAAUGCAAGAUAGAUCUUGAAGUUCUAAGGGCAUCUCCAGCCGUUGAGCCCCUCAGGAGGCAUUUUUUUCGCCGCUUGGGGGGCUGCCGGCGAAAAUUUUGUCCUGCGAACGAGAAAAUCUCCAGCCGUUUCCUCCCCAAGCGAGGCUGUCGUCCGAAGCCGCGGGGCCGUCGAAGGCCGCUUCGCCUUCCAGCAGCGCGUCCAUGCCGCCCGUAGUCCCGCUCCUUGCCUCCGCUGGCCCCGCCCGCGCCUGGCCGUUGGCAUGCAGGAAGGCCGUCGUUGCAUCGCGGCCACCGCGCCGCCGAGGACGACCACCUGAGCAUGAGCGGCAACAGCCUCCCCUGCGCCCCCCUCGCGGGCGCGCGCUGCCAGGACCGGCACGGCAGCCUGACCACCUCCUCGUGCCCUGCACCAGCCGCCCGGUGCUGGCCAUGUCCCCGUCCCCGUCGCCAUAUCCCCGUCCUCGUCGCCCAAGGCCGGUGCUCUCCAACUCUGUGCGGGAGUCGGCUGGGGCGGGACAGCGAGGCGAGGGCGGCGGCNNNNNNNNNNNNNNNNNNNNNNNNNNNNNNNNNNNNNNNNNNNNNNNNNNNNNNNNNNNNNNNNNNNNNNNNNNNNNNNNNNNNNNNNNNNNNNNNNNNNNNNNNNNNNNNNNNNNNNNNNNNNNNNNNNNNNNNNNNNNNNNNNNNNNNNNNNNNNNNNNNNNNNNNNNNNNNNNNNNNNNNNNNNNNNNNNNNNNNNNNNNNNNNNNNNNNNNNNNNNNNNNNNNNNNNNNNNNNNNNNNNNNNNNNNNNNNNNNNNNNNNNNNNNNNNNNNNNNNNNNNNNNNNNNNNNNNNNNNNNNNNNNNNNNNNNNNNNNNNNNNNNNNNNNNNNNNNNNNNNNNNNNNNNNNNNNNNNNNNNNNNNNNNNNNNNNNNNNNNNNNNNNNNNNNNNNNNNNNNNNNNNNNNNNNNNNNNNNNNNNNNNNNNNNNNNNNNNNNNNNNNNNNNNNNNNNNNNNNNNNNNNNNNAAGGGCGGCGGCGUGCCGGGCGCGGCGAGGCGAGGGAUGGCGUUGGAGAAGGGCGCGUGGUGGAGGAGGAGGAGGAGGAGGAGCUCGGGCGGAGGAGGAGGAGGAGGAGCUCGGGCGGAGGAGGACCUCGUCCACACCCGCGAGCAAGCCUCUCCUCGCCCCGCUGGGGAGAAGAUGGUUAGGUGGUCGCCGCCGCCGCCGCGGGACGUCGAGCUUUUCCCCUCCCUGGGUGCCCACGACGCCGUCUCGCCGCAAGCCCAAGGCGGUCAUCCAGGAGCCGGCCGCGGACGCCCAGGCCUCCGACGCCUCCGAGAGCCAGGGCGGCGAGGAAGGGGAGGAGGAAGGGGCGGCUCGCCGGAGCGAGGAGCAGAGGUGGGAGGAGAGAGAGUAGAGGAGCGAGGAGCAGGGGGCGGCGGGGCAUGCGGGAGAGAGAGAGGAGAGAGCUUUGUCUUCUUUUGCAUGCACAAUGUGGUGGGCCUAGCGAGGAAAAAGGAGGAGAGAGAGACUAGAGAGGCUGACAGUGGGCCUUUUGUAGUUAAAUUAUAGCGCCGGCGCCCCCAGCUGCUCCCCGGCGUGCUGGGUUUGCCUUGCGCGUGCCGGCCGUAACUUUCGUCAAAACCAGCGCAAAACUAGUUCCUGAGACCCUGAGUGGGUCGUUUUUUGCCCGCCGGCGUCUAAAAAUGCGCCUGGGGAGGCUUCUUGAGGGCCUGGCUGGAGAUGCUCUAACAGUUGUUUAAAUAUGGAUCCCAAUAGCCAGUUUGCGAACAUUUUAAUGCCAAACUCUGCAAAAACACACAUGGCAAUUUCUUUAGAAACACGUGGCAAUUUCUAGGAACAAAGCAUUCUGUUGUGAAAAUUGUUGUUUUUGCUUGAAGGAAUUGCCAUGUUCCCAAAACUAAAAUUGCUGUGAAAGAUGUUCGUUUUGCCAUCCACCUAACUACUCCCUCCGUUCUGAAUUACUUGUUUUGAAUUUGUCUAGAUACGGAUGUAUCUAGACUCAUUUUAGUGCUAGAUAUCUCCGUAUCUAGACAAAUCUAAGACAAGUAAUUCGGAACGGAGGGAGUAAAAUUUAAUGUGGAAUUUCUACGAGAAGUUACAUGCCUAACUGAAACGCCGAGGAUGGAAAGCUUGGCUGCCAGGCGCCGUGAGAGUGCUACACGCAGGCAGAAUAAAUCGCUCUUACCGUCGGAUCUUCGACGGACGGUGGCGACGGCAGGUGAGACGGGUAUGCCUCUCUGGCCAACGGCAGGCAACACGUGGCCGAUGCGUGGCAGUGGAACUGGCCAGGACCUCGGCGCUUCCGCCCACUCCAGCCACACAGAACGCGCACAAAAAUGGCGCUCGCCGCCGCUCCCUCCAGCCGGUUCCCCACCGCUCCUUUCCGACCAUCGCCGUCUUCGCCUCUCCAGAGACACGCGCACUUCCGCCCUCAGAACCCACGUCGCAGCCCUCCUCCACUCCUCGCCGCCGCGGCCGCCGCCCCCCUCACCGCAGUACGGUCUGUCGGACACCGACCCCCUCGUUAGCCGCAGGCACGAUCUGAGGCUUUUGUUUGCUGCAGGCGGACACGGAGGGGCGGAAGCACGAGCUGCUGCGGGCGGUGCAGGAGACAGGACGCGGCUCGGGGGCCAGCCCCGACCAGCGCGCGGCCAUCGAGGAGGCCAUCGUACUACUCCCUGCUCUAGCUAUUUCCUUGAAUCGCAUUUGCUCCUGGGCGGCGCGGGCCGGUGUGGGACGGCGAGGGAUAUCGAUCUGAUGUGUGUGCGUGGUGUGUAGGUGUGCGUGGAGGAGCUCGGCGCCGGGGAGGGGGUGCCGCUGGACCUCACGGCGCUCGACGGCACCUGGAGGCUGUGCUACACGUCUGCAUCGGACGUGCUUAUGCUCUUCGAGGCGGCCGAGAGGCUCCCUCUCCUGCAGGUGUGUCUCUGCUUGUACCUCGAUUUUUCAAAAUUCAUCAUGAGAAUCCCAUGACAGUUAGCAACAAACAAAUAGCAAGUAUGCAAAUGUUUGAUAUCGUGGAAACUCUGCUAUUCCGUAGUGUGCACUUUAAAGCUCUAUGGAAACCUGGAGCUAUUAAGAGGUUGAUCAUGAAUUGUUUUCUGACACUUCAGAAAAUUGCUUUAUAGUGUGUACAGGCAGAUGAUCAUGUUUGAUAAAUUUGCGGAAAGUGCAGGAAGCCUUACGUCUGGGAUGGUGCUUUUGUAUGUGUGCAGGUAGGGCAAAUAUACCAGAAAUUUGAGUGCAAGGGUCGGUCGGAUGGUGGAAUUGUGCGGAAUGUCGUGCGUUGGAGCAUCGAGAACUUGCUGGAGGUAAAUCUUUAUGAUAAUUGUGCAUCUAUGUGUCCUUUCUUGGAGGUUUUGUUCUUUUAACCUAACUUUGCGCCACAACAGGUCUUGUUUAGUUUUCGCAGAAAAAAUAGUUGCUAUAUUUUUCUGUUGGUGCUGUCACUUUGCCUGGAACUCAGAAUAUACAUGUUUUUGUUUUGUGAGUGUCAUCGUUGCGGAUGGUCAAAAAAAUGCAAAACAGCAACAACAACAACAAAGCCUUUAGUCCCAAGCAAGUUGGGGUAGGCUAAAAAAAAAAUGCAAAACAGCAAAAGGACAAUAUCCUUUGUUAACUUGUAAUUUUGUAGUAGGAUGGCAUUAGUAUGCAGUGAAACAGUGAAAGCUUGGCACCUUAGAUAGCAUGGUGUAUAUUUGGUUCUUCUUUACGACAAUUCAUCUUAACAAGUUGCUGAUAUAUACUUAAGUAGAGCCUUUAGCUCAUCAUAUGUGCUUUUCUGCCCUUCUAUUAUUAUAAACAUGACUUGGUUGUUUCCGUUUGACCAAUCGAGGGGAGAGGCUGGUUCGUAAGAAGGAUCAUUGUAUCAUAUGCAUGGAUAUGGCAAUAAUAUAGUGAAAAGCAUAGGAAAAUGGUAUUUUUAGCUUUGCAGCGGCUUGAUAAAAUGAUUGCAGAAUGUUCAUAGUCCUUUUGUUACAGGAACAGAUUUUGGUCUAGAAUUGCAUUAUUUUUAUAUUGUGCAGUCUGUAGUAUGACGAUUUUUGGCAUAAAAAAUGAUUUAUAAUCCCUUCAUUUGACAUAUUCUGCUUAUCAGCCUGUUUGCAUGUCAUUGAUUAAGUACUGUAUACAUUUCUGUCUUUAACUCUCAUUUGGGUUAGCUCUUUUGUGUUUGAUUCUGUUAGUGGUCUAUAUAGGAGCAAGAGGGUGCAACACUGAUGGUCUCUGCAAAAUUUGAUGUUCUGUCUAAGCGCAACAUAUUUCUUCAGUUCGAGGAGGUAAUUUUUCUAUUGAAAAUAUCUUUGCCUGCUUAUUUGAGGGAGCGUUGUAAUAAGAAAGAUUGGGGGUGAUGAUAAGAAAGCAGGUUAGACAUUUUUCUUCAUACAAGCUUAUGCGCAGUUUCCACUAUCUUUCAAUACUGGAAUGCAACAUCAAUCCAGAAUCAAUAUGCCAGGCAUGGUUGUUCCAAAGGGUUUUGCCACCUACUAUUAACAAACCAAAACUAGAAGUUCCAGCUGCCACCAAAACUCCAAAAGUAUAGCAAUCAAGGUUACUGAAAAAGAAACGACACUUACAGCAGCUCAAAGGGAUGCCAAAACAACCAUAGAACAUUCCCUGAACAGCAGUUCUGGACUCAUCGAAGUGAUUCAUCAAAUAGAAGCUUCAUCUCCCUGUUCCUUGACCCUCCCCUGAGUCAACACUCGAGAGCACUUGUUCAGCAACAUCUGCCUGGUCCCCACCCCUGCCAGCAGCACCUUCCUGUCUGUACCCACGUAAAAAAUUCCCGUUAUGUAUGGAAAAGAGCAUGCAUAAACUAACUGGAAGGAAAUUAAGAAUCCAUCAGAAAAACUGAAUAAGCGUAUGUUAGAUAUGAUGUGAUGUUCAGUGUGCAGUAGUGGUAGGCUAAGUAGGUGAUAGGUAUGCUCUAUGAGGUAUCUCCGUAUCUGCAGCUAAGUAGUACUCCCUCCGUCCCAAAAUAAGUGUCUCAAGCUUAGUACAACUUUGUACUAAAGUUAGUACAAAGUUGAGACACUUAUUUUGGGACGGAAGGAGUAUAUAAAACACAUUAGCAUUAUCCAUGAUUCAUUUUCACAUGAAACAUGAUGCUAGAAUAGAGCCAGACUCUGACAUGUUAUCGUCAUAUUUCUAACUGCUCAUGGCUACGAGUUGUUUGUAAUGCGCACAGGGUAGUUGAACAGUUCUUUCUUGGCUUCUCUCUUUUUGGCUUUUUUUUUUCUCGAAGACACCUGGAAGGGUGUCAUUUUCAUUGAGAAGAAAAGUGCUAAGAUAGCGCAACGACCAAUAUCUACUAUUUUUAAUUUAAUUUUUGGCUUUGCUUUCUUUUGGUUUUAGCUUAGUUUUUCUCCCUUUUGCCUGUUUGGCUAUAAGAUCCACGCCAUCUAUGUGCCUUCUCCUAAUACAAAAUGGCAUGCAUUUAUAUGUCUGUUUGAGAAAAAGAAGCUAUUUGCAAUGCUGAAAUUUGUCCGUUUUCUGUAUUUUCAUGCACCAUCUAAAGCUAAGGCUUCUGGGAAGAAGUCUGUGCUUAUGCCACCAUCUUUUCUCAAUUUUGUUUUCUUUGAUUUAUGUAUUUUACCCUUUUUUCUUCAUUUAUGAUCCAUUGUCUAAUAGGUAGCUGUAGAGAAUAUCAAGAUUAGUGAGCAGCUACAAGCACUGAUAGCUCCUGCUAUACUUCCUCGGUCUUUUUUGAGUCUUCAGGUAAGCCAGGUUAUAUGAAUAUAAUUAUCUCUUCAGUUUGAAUAUUACCUGUUAUGGUUACAAUCCUUUUCCCUUUUCAUUAAAAGCAUGCACAUCCUCUGUAGUCCAUAUGUAUAUUUUCAUUUGACAGUUAUAAUAGUUUUGAGAAUGCUAGUUACCAAAAGAUUUAUUGUUAUUCUCUUUUGUUCCAGAAUACAACGGUUAUUGUAAAAAUAAUUAUUUAUUUAGGAUCAUUGUUUCACUUUCAAAAUGCUCAUCAACUAUUAUACAAGUGUUUCAUUGCAGUGACUAUGUUUGCAGAUAUUGCAGUUCCUUAAAACUUUCCGAGCUCAAGUUCCUAUCAGCGGCCCCGAAAGGUACUUUUUUGAAGAAAACAAUCUUCCUUCUUUGCUUCCUUUGUUCGUAAGUUUCAUACUGAAUUUUUAUCAGACGAUCACCUGGAGGACUAUACUAUCUUUCUUACCUUGACUGUGACAUGCUCCUGGGGCGUUCAGUUGGCAGUGGUGGUGUUUUUAUUUUCACAAGAGCCCAGCCUCUAUUAUGAAGGUUUUCUAAUUUCCAUGGGUGUGUUGUAUAAUAAAAUUAUGGUUAUAGAUGGGCUUACCUGCAUACAUUAGGUAUGUGAAAUCUGAUUACUGUCCAGUUCUACUUAUAGCAAUCACCUUCUGCUUCCGUGUGUCAAGAAAGAUCUUUUUGUUCAUCAGGUUUCUGAGUUAAUUAACUUGAUGACUUUUUAUUCUGUGCAUUGGCAUGUGUUUUUGUUUGAGUUCUUCUAUAUGUACGGCGUUUUCACGUUCACAAGUACGAUAGCAGAUGCAUGUGCUUUCAUCGAAUCUACCAGCUCUAUCUGGAAAAGGAAGCAAGUGGAGUAUGCAACUCAGUUGAGACGCAUCGGACCUUAUGAGAGUCGUACCUGAAAAUGUCGUAUGCAAAGCAAUUUCGCUUUUGUUUCUAGUAUUAUCAUUGUUAGUGUAUUUGUGGAUUGCCUAGCCCUUUCCAUCAGUUCCGACUUUUGGUUGCGUUGGCUAGUGCAUGAAGCUUGACAAUCAUAUCUGCAUUGUUUUCAAUGUGUCUAUAUCACUCAGUACCACUGGCGACAUGUGAUUGUUUAUGCCUAUUACUGUAAUCUUAGCCUAACAAAUUUACUAAUCUGCACUGUAUGACUGUAAUCAAUAAGUCUUUAAAAUAUGUUCUUGCUGUCUGCAAAAUCAAAAUGCAGUUAACAUUUAUCUUUUGGGUUGAUCUUGUUGGGCUUCCUUUCCAGUGUAGUAGCUGUUAGGUUAUUGGAUUAUUUUUUGCUGCAGUUACUAUCUGCAUACGAUUAUUGAUGUCCCACAAAAACAAUUAUGUACUUUUCUUUUUGCAAGAAAUAAAUAUGUGCCUAUCAUUCAUGUGUAGCAAGCCUGUCACGGACGAUAUUAUGGCAACUAUUUUAUUACAGUCACAUUUACUCAUACAAUUAUUGUUAAGUUGAAGUGACAGGGUUAUGUUGAUCCCUUUGCUGAUUAAAUUAUCAACUCAUUUAAAUUGUUCCCAUUUCAUAUAAUUCAGGUCACUUGACAUAAUAGUUUUUUUUUUUGAAACGAGGCAAAAGAUUUGCCAUUUCCAUUGAAUAAGGAGAAGAGUAUGGUUUAGUGCAUCACUGCCCCGCCAAAGCUGAAAGGGCAAAGGCCUACUCUCGCGGCAUCAAAUUACACAAAUGUUUGGCUCCCGCCAUAGCCCAGAUAGAUGCCUCCUCCUUAAUAGUUCGCACUAUGACCGCCACAGGCGCCGCCUUGGUCCUGAACACGCGUGCAUUUCGCUCCUUCCAAAGCUCCCAGCUUACAAGGUGUAGUACGGAGGCCAAGGCUCUCCUCGGGUGCGCAUUGUUGGCGAGGACUCCAUCCCACCAAAACCUUACUGUGCCAAAGUUCAACCAUUGGGUGGUAUCUACAUCAAGGUGCAGCCAUGCAAGGACCUCCUUCCAGACCCGAAUGGAGAAGCGGCACUUGAACAGUAGAUGUGCCGUGGAUUCUCGCACUUGAUUGCAAAGCGGGCAACGAUCACAGUUUGGCCACCCACGACGUUGUAGCCUGUCCGCCGUCCAGACCCGAUUUUGUGUGACCAACCAUGCAAAGAAUUUACAUUUUGGAGGGGCCCAAGCCUUCCAGACAGUGGUUUGCAAGUUGGAUUGAACAAGUCCAGCAAAUUGGGCCAAAUAGGCCGUCUUGGCAGAGUAAGAUCCAUCACUGGAGAGCUUCCAAAGCAUGGUGUCCGGGACACCAGGUUGGAGGUUGAUAGGCAAGAGCAUGUUCCACGGAGCAAUGAACUGUUCGAGAUGGACUAGGGAUAAUCCUGCUGUUGUGUCAAUCCAAUUUACCCAGUUAUCCUCCCUGAGGGCCAAAGCAACGGUGCCACGCUUCUUCCUAGAAAGCUCGAAGAUUUUUGGGGCGAUGUCUUUGGGACGGAUGCCAUCCAACCAAGAAGACUCCCUGAAAAUGGCCUUGGAGCCAUCACCAAUUGUGACCUUAGUGACAGCCGCAAAGAUGUCUCGAUCUAACUUUCUAUAGGGGAGCUCAGUACCACACCAUGCCAUUGGCGGGUCCUCCCACUCCAGCCAUAGCCAUCUAAGGCGGAGCGCGGUGGCGAACUUUUUCAGAUUGAGGAUUCCCAGGCCCCCAUAUUGCUUGGGCCUGCAAACGUGCUCCCAAUUAAUUUUGCAUUUGCCGCCAGACAGUGUCAGUUCCAGCCCAAAGAUAGGCUCUCCGCAGGCUGUCCAAUUUCUGUAGCACCUCCACCGGGAUGUCUAGUGGGGUGAUAUGGUAGAUGGCCACCGCCGUGAGGACCGCCUUGACCAAGGCCAUUCGGCCCGCAAUAGCCACAUGUCUCCCUCUCCAAGGUGCAAGCUUUCCGACUGCUUUGUCUUCAAGGUGCUGUAAAUGGAUCCUUUUGAGCCGUCGAAUCGCAAGCGGAAGGCCUAAGUAGCGAAUUGGGAAUGAUGAACGGCAGGCUGGGAAAUGCUGCAGGAUGUCAUUGAGGUCCAGACUUGCGCACUGGAUGGGGGCAACCAAGCUCUUCGCACAGUUGGUGACCAGCCCCGUUGAUUCACCAAAGGAGGAGAGCGUGUUGGCAAUGAAACUGACAUCCUCCUUGAUAGGGGCACAAAAAACCGCCGCAUCAUCAGCAUAUAAAGAAGCCCUAAUGCCCGUGAAGCGGCUGCCUAGCGGGUGCAGAAGACCCUGAGAGGUGGCCUUUUCCAAGAUGUGGUGCAACGGGUCAAUGGCCAACACGAAGAGCAACGGCGAGAGAGGGUCACCCUGUCGAAGGCCACAUCCAUGCUUGAUUGGGUCACCGGCAAUACCAUUGAGCAAAACCCUGGAGGAGGCUGUGGAGAGGAGAGCCGAAACCCACCCUUUGAAUCGACUCGGGAAGCCAUGGUGGGUUAGCAGCUCCAUCAGAUAAUCCCAUUUUACCGAGUCAAAAGCCUUCUUGAUGUCAAGCUUGAAGAGGAGCAAAGGAGUUUUUUUGCGGCGAAAUUUCCUUGCCAAGUUCCGGACAUACAGGAAGUUGUCGUGGAUACUCCUUGUUUUGAUGAAGGCACUUUGCGCAAUGGAGACGAUAUUGUUCAUAUGACGGGCCAACCGUGUUGCAAGGAUUUUGGCAAUGAGCUUUGCAACGGCAUGUAUCAGGCUGAUGGGUCUGAAGUCUGAGAUGUCUUCGGCGCCAUCUUUCUUAGGGAUGAGGGCGAUAUUCGCCGAGUUGAGCCAGUGGAAGUUUUCCGCAUGCAGAUUUGAGAACUUGUUGAUCACCAACAUGACAUCAUCUUUGAUAAUGUUCCAGCAGACCUUGGAAAAUUUCCCGGUGAAACCGUCAGGUCCGGGGGCCUUGUCUCCAGGAAGAGCAGAGAGUGCAUCCUUGACUUCAUCCUCUGUGAUGAGCUCCCCAAGGUCGGAGAGGUCAUGGGUCGUAGGGGGAAAGGCGGACCAGUUGAUAGUUUUCGAGCGUGGCGUACCCCUCUUGAUAAUGUUGGCAAAAUGUGUCUGGACAAUGCUGCUUUUAUGAUCAUGGCUAGUCACCCAGCCACCUCCAUGCUUGAGUAGUUAGCGAAUAUGAAUCAUCGUAGUGGAUGUAAGUAGCUACCUGGGGUCUCUUUGCUUUCACUGCAGGAGUAUUGGAACUGUACCCACUGAAAUAUGCAGUUUUAGAAUCAAUUUGACAUUUGAGUAUUGUGUGCUCUUAUAGAUAUUUUAGGCCAUGUGUUAUUGGGGGACUUGUCUGCAGUUCGCAGAUUAGUGAUGACGGUUUUGUAGCUUGACAUGGACAUCAAGCAGUCAAAGUCUAAUGAAGCUUGUCAGCUGGUGAACCAUAGGAGGCGAUGAAGCAUCAACUUUUCGAAAUUGAUAGUAGUAGUUCAGAAACAAAGGGCCCAAUAUAGGUUAUUUUUAUCCUAAUAUGUACUCCCUCCGUUCCGAAUUACUUGUCGCACGUAUGGAUGUAUCUAGAUGUAUUUUAGUUCUAGAUACAUCCAUUUCAGCGACGAGUAAUUUGGAACGGAGGGAGUAACAGAAGUCGUUGCCUUAGUAUUUGGGCAUCAUAUGGAGUCAUUGGUUUCUGAUCUUUUCAUUUAAGCGUGAAAAAAUCACUGUAGGGCUCACCUUAAGACCAACUUACAAGGAAUAAACAUUGGCAACACCCUUAGACCUUAGUAAUUGGGCAUAUCACAUGGAUUCAUGGACCAUGCACUCAGAGCUAAUAUCAUUUCAAGGCAAGCGGCCAACCUUGUGCUAGAAUCGUUUGUGUGUGUGUGUGUGUGUGUGUGUGUGUGUGUUUUAUGAAAUCGUGGUCCUCAAUUUGGUUAUAAUGGAAAGUAGGGUGUCCUUUUGCCCAGUUUGUGUUCAGGACUGAAAGUACUUAUAACUACACUUCAAACAUUGCACAUGCCCACUCUUAUGGCUAAAAAUCAAACUGUGCUUUACACCUCAGUUGUAUUUAUCCAGUAAUCCUAUGAGGUUCAGCACUUGGGUUGUUGGUUUACCGUUUACACACUUCAUUAAACUAAAGGGGUCACCAUAGUCACCAUGCUGCUAUUUCAAACUCUUCUGUGGGCAAAACUAAAUGCCAAAAUCUCUGCUGUGAGUAACAGGUCGCUAUGUUUGAGAACCAACAAUAUGUUCAGUAGUCAGGCGAGGUGAUUGUACCCUAGCCUACCAGGAUCCAACCCCAAGUUUGACAUCUUGUUUGUCUCACCAAGGUGGAUCAUGCAUAGGUGAUAGAUGACGUACCCUUCGAUAGUGAGGUGCUUUUGGACUUGGUCUUCUUCUGUGAAUACGCGGGCAUGUGUGUAUGCGUCUGUGUUGUGUGUUUAAACCAAAAAAAGAGGGGAAAACAAUUUGCUACAUUUAUUUGAGUUAAAAGUGUUUAACAAAAAUGCCAGGUUUUUGUUUUUAAGCCAUAGCCGAAUACAGUCUUCUAAAUGAAGCCAUGGGCCAACAUUUUGUUUAGUCAUGUCAGCAAUCUUGCAACUGAUCCGCGAUCCGCGAAUAUUCUUUUCUUGGUGUUUGGAUAUGCUUUCCUUGAUGUUUGUCGAGACCCACUUGUGCUAUGCAUCUUUAUACAUGGCAGUAUGCUUUGCUGGUGAGGUGCAUGUGGUGGCAACCCCUACACCACAAGUUCUUUUUUGUGUGUGUUCAUGGUGGGGCUGCAGACCCUCUGUGUCAUGCUUUAGAUUCUACGCCAAAAGGCUAUGGCUCAUGUCUAGCUCUGCAACCACCUAAAAAUCGAAGAGGAAUUCACAUCUGUUUUAGUUGUUUGUGUUGUUCUGUUGAAUCUCAAGUUGGAAAUUUUUAUCUUUAAUUCUCUAGAAAGGUUUUAGAAGCCUUCUAGUAGAAGAUUUACUGAUUGAUUUUACCCAAGUUUCAUGGAGAAUGCAGACAAGACGUUUUCCUCCUUCCAGCCUGGAUUCCAGGUGCGUAUCUGAACGCAGUACUCCUGAUUAAAGAUCAGGUCACCCUAUUGGAGACAAGUCAGGUCAUAUGCUCCAUCAAUUUUUGUACCUCUUGUCUGCACACUUCCGCGUUCAUGGUUAUUCCGUGGAAUUGUCUUGGUUUCUGAGGAGCAUGACCAUUUCACACCUCCAGUCAGCUAUCUGGAAGAUUGACAUUUUUUCAGGAUGAAAAGUUCCAUGCCCCAUUUCAUACCUCUCUUUUUCAUUACAUGCGUGCUGCUGUCAAAUAUCCGAGGUCCCUGAUUUGCCAUUACUAUUUCCAAUUGCAUUAUAUCAGUCAACUUUGUGCUGUAUGGUGUUGGUCCGAAGUUUCCUUACUUUUGUUGCUUAAUUGAGCAGCUGGUGCGGUCGUUUUCUGUGUGGCGUCACACGUCUCGUUUUCUAGCAGUGUCAUCUAGUCGAUUCAAAUUGUUUGAAGAAUUCCGUAACAGAGCGUAUGCAUUGCAAGUAGAAUUCCUUGCUAUAGUAUAACUGUUGGCAGCUCACAGCUUGGCAACGUGGUCAGCAAUCUCUCGACCAGAAUAUGCUGGCCGCACCCGCAAGAAGAAACCAGGAACUUGUCAAGAACACCGAAACAUCGGCUUCCCCUGGGAACUGACUGCUCGUAAGGAUGGUGAAACCUGAAAGUCGAACAAUUCAAUCGAGGGAAAAUUUAGAGAACGAACGUCCUGUGGGUCGUCCUCCAGCGCGACGCACUCUGCGCCAAUGGAUAUGGCUCGUGAUCAUCUCGUUUUAUAUGCACAUAAGCUCGAUCGUUGUCAAGGAAUCCGUUGCGUGUGAUAUUAGAUGAAUGCAUGCGUCAGCUCAAGUUUGCAUCAGAUCGGGGGCAACAUUUAGAUGUCCUCCAAGAGAUUCGUAGUACUACACAAACAACAUUAUAUACAUCUCAUCAAGAAGAAGAAAAAUGUACAGUACAUCCUAAACUACGCUCCACCACCACGGACGAGUUGGCAUCAAACACACGCCGGCGGAAAAUUUAGAAACCCGUACAGGUACAGCCUUGCAUAAUCGCACAUAAUAGUAGUAAUAAGCAAGGAAACGCAUGAUGAGAUUCGGUUCGUCAGUGAAGGCCGGAUUGCACGACGCCGCUGUGGAGGCCGGAGGACCUGAGCAGGCCGUCCAUGAGGGCGAGCCUCUCGGAGAGCGCCCUGACGUGCUGCUGGUACUCCAUGGCCUGCGUCAUGGCCUCGGCCUCCAGCUCGCCGAGCUGCACGCACAGCCGCUCCUCGGCCUCCUCCGCCACGGCCACCCGCGCCAGCGCUGCCUCCAGCUCCCGCCUCAGCCGUUCCUCCCUCGCCUCCGCCUCCGCCACGGCCCUCGCGAGCUCGGAGCUCUUGCCGUCCAUGGCCGCUGCUGCCUUCCUCGCCAUGCCUCCUAACUUCUCGGGGAUGAGUGGGAGAAUAUGUGUACACUAUAGACCUUUUUUUUUCUUUGAGGAGAAUGCGUACACUAUAGACAGACGUGUUUACGAGUUCGUUGGAUCUGGAUGCCUCUCAGGUUGUGGCGCCUUUUAUAUAGGCCGGGCCGGCUGCAGCUGCCGAGGGAAAGCGGGAAUGUGUCCAGGUUCAAUGAACCAAUCGGGCACGUUAGGUGUCGGCGUACGUGUACAGCGCUGCUACAUAUAAGGUGAGGUCAUCAUUCGUUGAUAAUUCGAUGCUUUGCCCGUACGUCUCUCUCUUAUUGCAUUUCCUCCUGGUUGAGAGGUGAACGUGGUGGGCGGAUGGAUAGUCAAACACCAGCAACCACAACUUUUGCUUGAUUUGUCUAGCACAUUCUGGCCGUUCGAUCGAGCGUCGGAGGGUAGAGGUUGGAGAGACAUACGAGGGUGAAUAUCGGGUGAUACAGAGCGAGUUUGGAUCAUGCCCUGGCCAGAAAGUACCUGGCCUGGAGCGUGCCUGAAAAUUGCCUGAAGUGUGUUUGGUUGCUACCCUGGAAAAACGCAUGCGUGUCUGGCCUGAUUCAUCUGUACUGUGAUUAGCCUGGACGGUUUACCAGGCAUGUGGCUUAGCCUGGUUCAGGACAUCUAUUUUGGACGUCUGGGUGCCUGGCUCUUGAUUAGUAAUUUAAUAUUUGGAUGUGAUGGUGGGCUCCACACUAGUACAACAUUUUACCAUAUAAAACUAUCUCUAAUACUUCACCAGGCAAGGCCACCAACCAAACAAUGCUCUCCCAGGCUAGCCUGGCCAGGCACAAAAUUCAGACUUUUCAGGCACAUCCCAGGCAUCAAAAUUCUCCAGGCACAUUGCCCAGGACACAAACCAAACUGGCCCACAAUCCCUUACAUGCUCCCAUGAUACCAACUUGAAAUAUUAAACUUAAAUAUUUUAAAAAAUUCUUUUUUUUUGUAAAUGUUCACAACACAUGUUUUUUUUGCGGGUAUACAACACAUGUGUUUACAUCUUCUAAAUAAUUCAGAUCCAAAUUCAAAGCACAGAUAGAGGAAAAAAAUCUUCAUCGUCAUCAAUAGUGUGAAUAAAGACAAAAACAUGGAUAGUUGCAAAGGGUACACUAUUCACAUCUCGAUUUGUCUUUUUUUGUUUCUCUCUUUGUACUUUGAAUUUGGAUCUUAAAAUUUUAGGGAUUGUAGACACAUGUGUUUUGAACGCUCACAAUUUCCUAGGAAUUUUUUGAACCAUAUAACUGGCGGUAUCACCUGAUAUCCUCCCAGAUAGAUGAUUGACCUCUCCUCCUUCGAUCUCAAACAUUUCUUCCAUGAGGAUGCACUUUUCAAACAUAGGUAAUUAAAAUAUCCUGAAAUUAGUGAAAUUGGAUCAAACCAUCUAAAAAGGCAUAAGUGACAUGAGAAGCAUCCAUCACGCAUAAUGCAUAUAUGUCCCUCUUGAAGAUCAUAUUUAGAUGAAUGAUCUUCAAGAGGGAGUUGUUUAUGUUAGCUGGGUUCAAUCUUGCAACUAAUCUACCGCAAUGACAAAAGUGGAAAACUUGUAUUGUGUUGUUGCCACUAAGGAUACAAAGAUAGCUGUGUAUUUGUCCUUUAUACUACAUGCAUCAUGUCACCAUGCUUAAUGCAAUGCUCCUUUUCAUCUAUCACUUCGCAUGCUAGAUAGCGGUCUUGGCUGUCGGAUGGACUACUGUGCAUGGUGUUCAAGGUGUCGCAUCUGGCUUGGUACCGUCUGUGAUGAUACUCAUGGCGGUCUCCUCCGUGUCGUGCCGCUCAUUGCGAGCCUUGCGCCUGCGUUGAGGACCCUAUGGAAGAAUGCCGGCUUUUGGAGGUGGAGAUGUUUACUCUAGCUGCGAAGGCUUCUCAAGGACGGGUGCACACAAGUGGUGAUGGGCGCUGCAUGCGGCAUUGUCGGGGUCACCAACCCUUCGAUUUGGGCAUGCGGGCUUGUAACACCCCGGAUGUCAUGCUACAGUGAUACCCUGUUAAUGGUGCCAUGCCAUCACAAUUAAUUUUGCUAAAGUUCACUUUGAUCCAAACCUAGUCAAAUUCAAAUUCAAAUGCAAGUCAAAAAAAUUCAAACAGUAAAAAUAAAUUGUUUGUUGGGUUGCAAAUAAUCAUUAAGUAAUUGUAGUGUAGGAACCAACAUCAUUUGAAAUAUUUAAAUGCCCCUAACCUAUUUAAAACUAAGCCAACAACAUUAAAGCAUACCAUUUCAAUUUAAAUAAAUAGCUAACCAUUUCAAAGUAAAUUGUAACUCUGUGUGCUAGCUCAGAUCAUUGCCUAAUAAUCAUGGGCCAAAUUUCAUAGUUAAUUAAAGUCAUUUAGUAAGAAUUUAAAAUGUAAAACAAAAAAUAAUAAAAGGAACAUAAAAUAAAAUGGGAAAUAGAAAAGAACGCACUAUACACUUGGCCCAACGCUCACUGUUUCAGGGCCAACCCACCUAACCUCCUCAUCCCCUACUGUAAGUGCAUCUAGUGCCACCCCUAGUUGGUUUUGGAGUAUUGAUGACAAAGUUGGUUGAGGGACUAAUGCAUCUGUGAGAAUUGCAGGAUAACGCAGGUAGUGUCCCUCAUUGAUUCGGUUUACCUACCGGAGAUGACCCCUAAAAAUGUAUGAAGACAUUGAAGACAAUGGUGGUGUGUGAAGAUAUUCACAUUGAAGACUAUGACAUGAGAAGACAUUGAGUGAAGACUAUGGAGCGCGAAGACUGUGUUGUUUCGUUGUUUCCUUUUCUUCUUUGUUGAGUCAUAGGAACCACCGUACUGUUAAGUGGGGUCCAAGUGAACAAAGUCAGAAUGACUGAAGUGAUGCUCAACCUAAAUCCUAUGUCUUCGAGCGAAGACAAUGAGAGCAAAUCUUAUCCAGAGCUGGAUGAGUCAGCUUUGCUUGUAGCCCAAGUAAAGUUGCCAUGUGUGUUUGAAAUCUGACCGUUGGAACACGUGUCAGUUCCUUAGUGACCCAGGGUCAUUUUGGACAUAUCAGGUCGGGUUGCCUUGUGGCUAUAAAUAGCCCACCCCCUACACCAUAAAUUGGUGGCUGCUCAGAGUUAGUUUACGGCUUUUGUCAUUUGAGAGCAACCCACCUCGAAGCCUUUGAGAGAGAGAAAUCCUUGCGAGGACAAAGCCCAAAACACCCAGAGCCAAAGAGUGUUAGGCAUCACUGAAGUCUUUCUGUCUGUGUGACCUGAAGACUUAUUACACUUGAGGACUGUGUAUCCUCCAGCCGGUUAGGCGUCGCGUUCUGUGCAUCCAAGAGUCAUUGUGGAUCGCCGGUGAACAAAGUUUGUGAAGGUUCGGAAGUCUACCUUGAAGACUUACCAGAGUGAUUGGGCGAGGACUGUGUGUCCUUAGCUCAAGGGGAAUAAGAUGAAGACGCGGUCUUCUGAGUUGAAUCUCAGCCUCCCUAACCAGACGUACAGUUGUCACAGCAACUGGAACUGGUCCAACAAAUCCUGUGUCUUCAACAAGUGACUGGUUCUAUCUUUUCCCUCCCUUUACUUUGAGUUAGUCUUCGUGAAGUCAUUGCCUAUUUGUCUUAUCUAUUUGACUUCAUUGCUUGACUACUAUCGUUGAUUGGCUUCAUACUAUCUUCCAUCCUGAUCCUUACUACCUAGCUGCUAUUAGUCUUUGAACAUUCACAUAAUUGCAUACUUGACUAUGGCUUGCUUGUUGUAGUUUAUCUUCCGCUACAUAUCAAUUAGGUCAUUUCUAUUGCUUGUCUUCAAAACUUCCACGUUUUGAAGACUUUGAUAAAAAUCGCCUAUUCACCCCCCUCUAGUCGAUAACUAGCACUUUCAAUUGGUAUCAGAGCAAGGUACUCCCUUGUUCUGUGUGAUUCGGUUUAACCACCUGGAGUUUAGCUAUGUCAACUACAGGGAUAAUCAAAGUCUCCGUUGCGUGCCCCGUGUUCGAUGGAACUGAAUAUCCCUACUGGAAGAAUAAGAUGCGCAUGCAUCUUGAAGCCAUUGAUGUCGACCUCUGGUAUGUCGUCAAGAACGGCGUUCCCAAAACUGGUGAAGGUGUCACCCCUGCUGAUGUCAAGAAGUUCAUUUAACUGGACUCGACUGCAAAGAACAUCAUCUGUGGUCAUCUGACCAAAGGAUAGUAUGGCCGUGUGAGUGCUAUGGAAACGUCAAAGCUAGUCUGGGACUGGCUAUCCAAGGUCAACGAAGGUGUCUCGACACAGAGAGACCAAAGGAUCAGUGUUCUUCGCAACCUCUUCAACCGCUUCAAGAGAAACGACAAUGAAAAUGUCCAACUCAUGUUUGAUCGCCUCACUGACAUCACAAAUGAGCUUCAGGAUCUUGGCGCCACUGAGAUUACCAAUCAUGAAAUCGUCAAGAUACUACUGAGAUCACUUGACAGCUCCUUUGACACCCUUGCCCUCAUGAUACAAGAACGCCCUGACUUCAAGACACUCGAUCCGUCUGAUAUACUUGAGAGGCUCAACACACAUGAGUUCCAGCUUUCCAAGAAAAGAGAUAUCUAUGGUCCCAAUUAUGGCCGAACUCGCGCUUUGAAGGCAAAAGUUGUUUCCUCAUAUGAAGAAGAAUCUGAUUGCAGUUCUGAUGAUCCUGAAGACAUUGGAAAGGAACUUGCCAUGCUUGUGAAGAAGUUCCAGAAGUUCACCAAGAAGAAGGGCUUCAGAAAGUCUUCACGAUCUAGCUCAAGAAAUGAUGAAGCUUCCACUCAUGACAACAAGAAGAGAACAUGUCACAAGUGCAAGAAACCUGGACACUAUAUCUCUGAGUGUCCACAGUGGGAAAAUGAGAAGAAGAAGAAGAAGAGCAAGGAAUAUGAUUCUGAUGACAAGAAGAAGAAGAAAUCUUCAAAGUCUUCUUCUAAGUCCUCAUCAAGGUCUUCAUCACAUAAGAAGAACUCAUCUGGCAAGGCUCGUGCUUUUGUUGGCAAGGAAAUGGAUUCAGAGGAGGAGUCUGCUUCUGAGGAGGCAGAGGUGGAGUCUGAAGAAGAGUCCAACCCUGGCUUUGCAAGUCUGGCUCUAGCCACAGCCUAUGUUGCCAAGUCCAGCUUCAACACUGAAGACAAUGACUUCCACACCAACGCUGAAGCUGAUGACAUGGACGAUCCUGCUCCCACCUACUGCUUCAUGGCACGUGGUGCCAAGGUAAAAUCACGUGAUGCUUACUUUCAAACAUCAAGUGAAGAUGACUCUGAUUGUGAAUCCAAACCCAGCUACAAAACACUCGCUAAAAUUGCUACUGAACAACAAAGGGCUAUGGAACAUACUCAAAAACUGUUAGACAAAAGCGAUGACCUGUUGGACGCGGAAAUGACACGUUCUCAGUCCUUAGUUGAAGACAUAAAAAAUCUUCAUGCUAAGUACCAAGAACUUGAAAGUCUUCAUGAGACGCUCUCAACCACUUAUGAAAGGCUCUCCUAUGAUUAUCUUCAAAGGAAGAAAGAGCUUGAGAAAUUGAAAGCGGCUCAUGAAGAUAUUCAAAAAGAGAAUGAGUCAUUUCGCGCUCAACAGACCAGUUCCGCUCAGGAUGGAUUUGAACCACCAUGUCUAAAAUGCAUUGAGCGUGAUAACGCUACCUCUGUUGCUGAAUGUUCCACUGCUGCUACUGUUGCUUUGUCUUCAACUACUGAUGUGGUAGCUAACCCCUCUAUUGAGGAUACCACUACUAUUGCUGAUGAAAAUGCUAGGUUGAAGACAUUGCUUGAAACAGGGAUGUAUAAAAGUCUGAAAGGACAUCAGACACUUUGCGAUGUCCUCAAAAAGCAAAUUCUGAACCGAAACCCUAGGAAAGAGAGUGUUGGGUUCGAGAGGAAAAUGAAUGUUGAUGGUUCCUACUGGAAACCUGAGCAAUAUCCCAAAACCACAUGGGUUGCUGCAAAGGAACCUUCAGUGGAUCCAUCCACCUUAUCUGGCUUUACCUGUGCUAAUCCUAUUAUCAUUGAUGAAUCCUUUGAUGCAAACUAUAAACUGUUCAAAAA
rnacentral:lncRNA from 1 species